UACGUAGGGUGCAAGCGUUAUUCGGAUUUACUGGGCGUAAAGAGUGUGUAGGCGGCUUUGUAAGUUGGAUGUUAAAUCUGUGGGCUCAACCCGCAGGCUGCAUCCAAAACUGCAAGGCUUGAGAGUGGAAGAGGCAGAUGGAAUUCCUAGUGGAGCGGUUAAAUGCGUAGAUAUUAGGAGGAACACCAAUGGCGAAGGCAGUCUGCUGGGCCAUUUCUGACGCUGAGACACGAAAGCGUGGGGAGCGAUCGGG
rnacentral:rRNA from 1 species